AGAGUUUGAUUAUGGCUCAGNANNAACGCUGGCGGCGUGCCUAAUACAUGCAAGUCGAGCGAAUUUGGAGGAAGCUUGCUUCCUCCCUGUUUGCGGCGGACGGGUGAGUAACACGUGGGCAACCUGCCUGUAAGACUGGGAUAACACCGGGAAACCGGUGCUAAUACCGGAUAAUCCUUUUCCUCUCAUGAGGGAAAGCUGAAAGACGGUUUCGGCUGUCACUUACAGAUGGGCCCGCGGCGCAUUAGCUAGUUGGUGAGGUAACGGCUCACCAAGGCGACGAUGCGUAGCCGACCUGAGAGGGUGAUCGGCCACACUGGGACUGAGACACGGCCCAGACUCCUACGGGAGGCAGCAGUAGGGAAUCUUCCACAAUGGACGAAAGUCUGAUGGAGCAACGCCGCGUGAGCGAUGAAGGCCUUCGGGUCGUAAAGCUCUGUUGUUAGGGAAGAACAAGUACCGGAGUAACUGCCGGUACCUUGACGGUACCUAACCAGAAAGCCACGGCUAACUACGUGCCAGCAGCCGCGGUAAUACGUAGGUGGCAAGCGUUGUCCGGAAUUAUUGGGCGUAAAGCGCGCGCAGGCGGUCCUUUAAGUCUGAUGUGAAAGCCCACGGCUCAACCGUGGAGGGUCAUUGGAAACUGGGGGACUUGAGUGCAGAAGAGGAAAGCGGNAUUCCACGUGUAGCGGUGAAAUGCGUAGAGAUGUGGAGGAACACC
rnacentral:rRNA from 1 species